GUUGUUAUUAUUAUUAUUAUUAUUAUUUUAUGGCUUUUUUGGUUUCUGAUGUUUUUCUCAAGUUUAGGGAUUUAAAGAAUGCAAAGGAGGACUUGGACAAGAAUUGCGUUGCACUUUAUGAGGCUUCAAGUGGUGAUGGGUCGUUAAAUGAUGAUGGGCAUUGUGGAAAAUCAUCAACAUUGCCCAACUCCGCUUUGCCUCACAAAGAAUGUCCAGAUGAUGAUUGGGAAGCUAUUGCAGAUCGUGCUCGAGAGGAA